UAAGACAUGGAUUCUACAACAAUAAAACCAACCGAUAAAGCAGAGGCCGAUGUCAUCAUUUUAGAAGAAUACCAGUCUGUAGGAUGUGGAGGUGAAGCAGAGAAGUCUAAUCAGGUCAUUUUGAAUAGAAAACUCGCCAGUCCGUGAAAAAGACUGAAGCACCGGCUGGAUGCAGCACGACUUUUGACAAAGAAAAAGACGGACACCUGGCCUAGACGGCACGAUCUUGGACAUGAUGAACUGAGACUCAGCAACUAGAACAAGGAAAACCAGAUCCCUGCCAGCGUGACACGUAAUACAACCUAUAGAAGGUCUUCUCCUUAUUUUAUAUCUGCUAGAAAAUGAUUCAUUAUGACCACAAUUGGUCGCUCAGUCGUCUGGUCUUAUGUGUUUAGCUCUGUUGAAAAUUUAGGGGAAAAAUGUGCUGAAUGUCAAGAGAACAAAUGGAUACCAGAUGGACACAUUUGUAGGAUUUGGUUCUCUAAACCAUUUAUUGAAUAUAAACAGUUUAUUGAUGCUCCAAAGGGCUAGAAGAGAUAGACUUGUGUCCUGUGUGCUGCUUUGUUAAAAAUGUAUAAUCUCCAUUGUUUUCAUAAAGCUAUCAAGAAUGAUGUGGAUGAUAUUAUAGCUGAAUCUGAGCAGGGAGAGACACUCAGUGAUGGAUACGCACAACUGAUUCAGCCUGUGAAGACCAGCGUUAUGUGGUCGGCUCUGUUCUAAACAGAGAAAAUAGGCUGACAUAA